rnacentral:rRNA from 1 species
CUUGCAAACUAAAGAUGGCGACCGGCGCACGGGUGAGUAACACGUAUCCAACCUGCCGAUAACUCGGGGAUAGCCUUUCGAAAGAAAGAUUAAUAUCCGAUAGUAUAUUAAAACCGCAUGGUUUUACUAUUAAAGAAUUUCGGUCAUCGAUGGGGAUGCGUUCCAUUAGUUUGUUGGCGGGGUAACGGCCCACCAAGACUACGAUGGAUAGGGGUUCUGAGAGGAAGGUCCCCCACAUUGGAACUGAGACACGGUCCAA